rnacentral:rRNA from 1 species
CACGUAGGGUGCGAGCGUUGUCCGGAAUUAUUGGGCGUAAAGAGCUUGUAGGCGGUUUGUCGCGUCUGCCGUGAAAAUCCGGGGCUCAACCCCGGACUUGCGGUGGGUACGGGCAGACUAGAGUGUGGUAGGGGAGACUGGAAUUCCUGGUGUAGCGGUGAAAUGCGCAGAUAUCAGGAGGAACACCGAUGGCGAAGGCAGGUCUCUGGGCCACUACUGACGCUGAGAAGCGAAAGCGUGGGGAGCGAACAGG